rnacentral:rRNA from 1 species
CCUACGGGAGGCAGCAGUGAGGAAUAUUGGUCAAUGGGCGGGAGCCUGAACCAGCCAAGUCGCGUGAGGGAUGACGGCUCUCUGGGUUGUAAACUUCUUUUUCCGGGGAGCAAAAUGCCGCGCGUGUGCGGUUUGGAGAGUACCCGGAGAAAAAGCAUAGGCUAACUCCGUGCCAGCAGCCGCGGUAAUACGGAGGAUGCGAGAGUUAUCCGGAUCUAUUGGGGUUAAGGGGUGGGAAGGCGGACGCGUAAGUAUGCGGUAAAAUUGCGGGGCUCAACCUCGUCGAGCCGUUGAAACUGGGUGCCUUGAGUGGGCGAGAAGUACGCGGAAUGCGUGGUGUAGCGGUGAAAUGCAUAGAUAUCACGCGGAACUCCGAUGGCGAAGGCAGCGUACCGGCGCCCAACUGACGCUGAGGCACGAAGGCGUGGGUAUCGAACAGGAUUAGAUACCCGAGUAGUC